rnacentral:tRNA from 9 species
AAACCAACAAGAACUGCUAACUCUCGCAUCUGAGUCUAAAACCUCAGUCC